UCCUGUCCCGUCAUCCCAGUGUUCAGACUACCUGUUCAGGGUUCUACUGGUGUACAGUAGUCUGCACAUUGGUUAGAC
rnacentral:miRNA from 1 species